UACGGGGGGAGCAAGCGUUGUUCGGAUUUACUGGGCGUAAAGAGCUCGUAGGCGGUCUGUCGCGUCGAUCGUGAAAACUUGGGGCUUAACCCUGAGCUUGCGGUCGAUACGGGCAUGACUGGAGUUCGGCAGGGGAGACUGGAAUUCCUGGUGUAGCGGUGAAAUGCGCAGAUAUCAGGAGGAACACCGGUGGCGAAGGCGGCCAUCUGGACCGGCACUGACGCUGAGGCGCGAAAGCGUGGGGAGCAAACAGG
rnacentral:rRNA from 1 species